rnacentral:rRNA from 1 species
ACGCACGCUGGCGGCCGGCCUAACACAUGCCCGUCGAGCGAGGACUUCGGUCCUAGCGGCGGACGGGUGAGUCACGCGUGGGAACGUGCCCUUUGCUUCGGAAUAGCCCUGGGAAACUGGGAGUAAUACCGGAUGAGCCCUUUGGGGGAAAGAUUUAUCGGCGAAGGAUCGGCCCGCGUUGGAUUAGGUAGUUGGUGGGGUAAUGGCCUACCAAGCCGACGAUCCAUAGCUGGUUUGAGAGGAUGAUCAGCCACACUGGGACUGAGACACGGCCCAGACUCCUACGGGAGGCAGCAGUGGGGAAUCUUAGACAAUGGGGGAAACCCUGAUCUAGCCAUGCCGCGUGAGCGAUGAAGGCCUUAGGGUUGUAAAGCUCUUUCAGCUGGGAAGAUAAUGACGGUACCAGCAGAAGAAGCCCCGGCUAACUCCGUG